ACAACACUUUUAAUUCAACUUUAUAUGUUAUAUAUUUAAAAUUAAAAGCCAUGCAAACAAGGUGUAAAAGCAUAUGCUCAACCCUAGCGCCCAGCUAAAUUGGGGAGGGCACAUACUCGAAACCCAAUAAUCGGGGAGAGAUGACAAGGGGAAAACAGAAGAUCGAGGCUCAGAGGAAAAAUGCUGAGAGAAAUCAGAAAGGAAAAGGGUCUCAGCUUGAAGCUCGUGCUGUCGGCCUCAAAGUCAUCUGUCCCAUUUGUAAAGCGCAGCUAGCAAAUCAAAACCAACUUGUGGAUCACUAUGGGUCUAAGCAUCCAAAGGAAAAGCCUCCGAGUAACUCAGAAUAACAUUUCAUGUUUCUUGGGAAGCCUCUUGCUUGCUUUUUGUUCUCAAACCUUUGAAUCAAUUAGUAAAAACCCUGUUAAAAAUGCAGCGUCCAAGCUGGUUGUGGCUGCUUUGUGAAACAGACUGAACAUUCUCUGUGAAUAGUGUAAGCAAGAAAACAAUAAAAAUCCAAACAAGGGUGGAUGGUUUUCUUCUCUUC